rnacentral:rRNA from 1 species
CGAUCUGGCUCAGAUGAACGCUGGCGGCGUGCUUAACACAUGCAAGUCGCGCGUGAAAGGACUUCGGUCCGAGUAAAGCGGCGCACGGGUGAGUAACGCGUGGAUGAUCUACCCAUGAGUUAGGAAUAACGGCUGGAAACGGUCGCUAAUACCAAAUACGCUCCGAUUUCAACUUCGGGGGAAAGGUGGCCUCUGCUUGCAAGCUACUGCUCAUGGAUGAGUCCGCGUCCCAUUAGCUAGUUGGUGGGGUAACGGCCCACCAAGGCGACGAUGGGUAGCCGGUCUGAGAGGAUGACCGGCCACACUGGGACUGGAACACGGCCCAGACUCCUACGGGAGGCAGCAGUGGGGAAUAUUGCGCAAUGGGCGAAAGCCUGACGCAGCGACGCCGCGUGAGGGAUGAAGGUCCUCGGAUCGUAAACCUCUGUCAGGAGGGAAGAACCGCCACGGUGCUAAUCAGCCGUGGUCUGACGGUACCUCCAAAGGAAGCACCGGCUAACUCCGUGCCAGCCGCUGC